CUUCGGACGCUGACGAGUGGCGCACGGGUGAGUAACGCGUACAAAACCUACCUUUUACUGGGGGAAAGUCGCUGGAAACGGCGAAUAAUCCCGCAUAAGACCACGCUAUCGCAUGAUAGAGGGGUUAAAGGCUUCGGUUGGUAAAAGAUGGUUGUGCGUUCCAUUAGCUAGAUGGUAAGGUAACGGCUUACCAUGGCGACGAUGGUUAGGGGGCGUGAGAGCGUGAUCCCCCACACGGGUACUGAGACACGGACCCG
rnacentral:rRNA from 1 species